GUCUAGGGCCAUGCCACCCUGAACAAACCUGAUAUCUGAUCUCGGAAGCUAAGCAAAGUCAGGCCUGGUUAGUACUUGGAUGGGAGACCACCUAGGAAUUUCAGGUGCUGUAGGCA
rnacentral:rRNA from 1 species